rnacentral:rRNA from 1 species
AGCGAACGCUGGCGGCAGGCCUAACACAUGCAAGUCGAACGACCUCUUCGGAUUUCGUGGCGGACGGGUGAGUAAUACGUGAGAACGUGCUUUUUGGUUCGGACUAACUCUGGGAAACUUGUGCUCAUACCGAAUGUGCCCUUAGUGGGACAGAUUUAUUGCCAUUAGAGGGGCGCGAACCGGAUUAGUUAGUUUGUAGGGUAACGGCGCACCAAGGCGACAAUCUGUAGCUGGUCUGAGAGGAUGACCAGCCACACCGGGACUGAGCCACGGCCCGGACUCCUAGGGGAGGCAGCAGUGGGUAAUCCAGCGAAAUAGGGUAAAGGAUGACGCAGCCAUGCCGCGUAAAUGAUGAAGUUCUUAGAGUUAUAAAAUUCUUUCACCGGUGACGAUAAUGACGGUACCCGAAGAAGAAGCCCCGGCUAACUUCGUG